ensembl:lncRNA
GGAGAUUUGGGAAAAUUACCCAACAAGUCGAGAGAGGAAGUCAUCAUCCAGGAUUUAAAUGCAGUUUGUUUUCUUUGAAGGGGCGAACACCUUAAUGCAGCAUGCGGCUAAACUAGACACGGUAAUCUCAUCCCGGGUCGGCUGCUCUGCGUGUAUUUCCAGUACACUGCUGCUGCCGUGUGGUUUAACGUUACUACCGCUAGCAACUAGUGAGUCAUAUUAUCACAAACUGGUGAGGACACACUGGUGAGUGCGGUUAACGCUGCUAGCAGAGCACCCCCAACUAGCUAACGGUACCUGGAAAUAAAUGAAACUAUGUCUGGUUAAAGCUACUCUGGGGCCACCGUCGACCACAAGCAGGCUGCUGUUUCUCAAAGUUCAAGCCAACUUAGCGUUAGCACAAACGAUGCACUGAGAGCUAACUUCGUCUCUUGGUCGAAGAGCCAACAACGGCAGAAUGUGGCUUUAGCUGGUAAGUUUGUUUACUUCAUGACUCACCAACCACUAUUAUGUUACUUGGCUAACGUUGUCGUUAGUUUAGUUGAUAUGGAAGCCAAGGUCUAUAUUUGCAGCAGCUACAAAUAGGUUUAGGCUAUGUGUAGUCGCUGGCGUUUUCCAUUGCAAAUGCUACCAUUUGAAGUGUUUUUUAACCUUUCUUUUUUUUUUUUUUUUUUUUUUUUUAAAAAAAGGUUAAAUCGCCGUCUUUGAUCCAACGUUCGCCGCUAGUGUUUAUUGUGGCAUGGCAACCGCACAGCUGCAGAAAAGUCACAUCUGUAGCGUUUAGCUUUUUUUCUUACGCCAACUCUGACUCAGAGUAAGCUGGCAUAGUUUUAGCUCAGCUCAGUUUUCUUUUAAAUUAUAUCUGUCUUUUUCAGUCACGAAAGUUCAUAUAUAAUUAAUAGAAGGUUGAAUUCAUCAGUUGUUUUUUCCCCCUCAAACAGAAAUGUUAUUUUUAACAUAAGUAGAAAGAAACAAUUUUCUUGGUGGGAUACAUCUUAAAUGCAACCCUGGUCGAAGGCCCGCCACAAUAAAUACAUAUGUGUGUAUUUAUUUAUUUAUUGAGCACCUGAAGUCUGUAAGAGACAUAGAGGGAGCUUUAGCAAGAGUAACUAAGUAAUGGUUUUCUGUAUGACUUCAUCGAUGUCUCAUAUCAUUGAAACACAAGAAAUGUUGUUCCACUCUUCUUUUUGCCUUCUUUCAUUUUGCUACUCUCUUGAGCUUUACAGCAUUUGAGUCAAAUUAAGGUCUAGACUGGACUAUUGUAACAUGUAGAUAUUUUUUUGUUUUUCUUCCACAGUCUUUGAGUUGUAGAUGCAUUGCCUUGCUUGUGAUUUUUUUUUUAAUGUAUUUAUUUAAUUUUUUUGCACGACCAGCCCCAACCAAGCUUUAGAUCUUAAUCUCUAGAAUACUUUGGUAAACAGAGUUUAGGUCCUGUGGCUGCAAACAAGACCAAAUGAUCACCACUCUAACACGUUACUAUGAGAUGUUUGUGGUGAUAUAUACGUGUGUGCAUGUAUGUAUGUAUGUAUGUAUGCAUGUAUAUAUUAGGGGUGCAACGAUACACAAAAUUCACGGUUCGAUAUUUUUUCGAUACAAAAAAAAUGUUCAUGCUUUUUAAUUUGUCAUUUAUUAAAAUUAUAAAUAUAUAUUUUAACUCAAAAGUACAGUUUUUAAAUUUAAUGUUGCUGAAACAACAAAGUAAUAAAAAAAAAUAUAUAUAUAUCUGAUCGAGAAAUCACUCAUCUUUGGAAAAGAGAGUUUAU